AAAAAAAAAACUUGCAUUACAAAUGUAUUCAUUGAAAAGUUCCUAUAAAUGUUUGACGACAGAAAUAGCGAUUCACAUGGUCUCAUAAGCAGUCAUGGGUUUGUCAAAAUGUCAGUCACGCCAAUUCAGGUGAAUCGGCGAAGGGGAAGUAAACAAGCCAUUUCCUAUAACUCAUGAGUUAAUGAUCCGUGGUCAAACAAAAGGCCAUGUAAAUAAAUAAUCUUUAGAUAAAAGGCAAAUCAAGCACUGAUUCUUAUUUGAAGUUAAGAUAUGAAUCAGCAGCUGUUACACCCUUCAUUCAAUUCUCAGACCGUCGAGAUUAAAGAUACUACUUGACUCCAUGGUGACAGAGCUGUGCUAUUGGGAAGCUUUUAUCUAACAAAAGGACCAGAGCCAUCUUGUCCCUCCACCCUUCUCCUUCAGUAACCUUCAGACGCUCGCCCUUCAACAGUCCUGCAACAUGCAAAAUGAUGUCAUUGUCACAGCCAGCCAUCUGGCGGCAACCACUACAAUCUUGGAGAAGCCCUCCUAGCCCUCUCUUCCUCCACCCCUCCACUUCCUGUCCUGGCACCAGCCUGGCUCACAGCACACCACCCACUUCCCCAAACAAUCAGCAAGACACAGGCUGACCUGACAUCUGGUUCCCUACUCCUGUACUGCUAUGUCACUAGGUUGCACUGCCUCUUGCUUUCAGUGUACAAGUGUCCGAUCCUUGAAAUUCCAGGGAAGCACAGGCAUUUUGACACAAUGUGUAUAAUUGUACUUAUUAAUAGUUGUGUCACAACUGGAUCUCUUACAUUUCAAAUAGUAGAUGUUUGAAUAUCAGCAUUGGCUAAGAGAUUGGUGUCGGAAUACGCCACUCUGUCCAUCCAGGAGCAGUCACAGGCACCAACAAUAAUCAUAUCAAACUUUCCAUGGGAAGAGGAGAUUGGGAGAUGUCAUGAGCGUGGCACCCAGGAUGAGCGCGGUCAGCCCUGGAGAAAGGACGAGCUGAGCUUCCCGGUCUUCCCCCACACCUGAGCUCCACAGGCACAUGCAGGGUCCUAGACGCCAGGUGUGGAACAACUCCUGUCAGACUGACUAAGGGAUUUUCAACCUGUUUGUGGAUAAAACUCACAAUUGUUACAUUUUAGUGACCGAGAACAUGUCGAUGAUUUGUAUGGGUUGGCAGGUUUGGAUACAUGCUCUCUGGAUUGGGCUGGGGGGAUGUUCAAAACUUUGUGUGUGGCCCCAACAGAGACACUGUCGCCUGAUCCCAACCUUGGUACCCUUGGGGCCUCGAAAAACUAGUUUCCUGGAACAAGAGAAGAUUUUGAGCUGGAUCAGUCUCCCUCUCCUGGCUAGACACUAUGGCAGCAGGGUUAUUGUGAGGCAGAAGAAUGCUCCCACAGUACAAAAUGACAACCCCAUACCUUUGCUUGAUACAUAAAGGGAAAUGAUAUGUUAUUAAAUCACUUAAAGUUAAUGCCGUGAAUGAUGCUCCUUAGAUAAUGUAAUGCAUUAUAACACUAAAAUCAUAGCCCUUGAGUGAGCCCAAUUAUGAUAAGCUAAAUUGCCUUAGGGCAGCAAUGUUUGGAUACCAAUCAUUUUUUGAAGGCACAAUGAUCUUCUCAUCGUCCAGAAGGAAAUGAUCUGCUUGUCUUUGAACCUGUGAUGAGAGGCUGAAUGAAAGCAAACGAGGACCUGUCAAAGAUGAGGGGAGAAAUUCAUCAACUUUGCCGGGUCCAGACAGAGAGUGUCUUUCUGGCGAGGGAAGUACACACCCAGCUGCCCACCCAUAGAGAGGAGGAAAAGUGAGAGGCCCUGAAGAUACUGGCUUGUUUCUCUCAUAUGCCUGUCUCCUUCUCACCCUCACCUGGCCCCACUCCUCUCCUGGCCUGAGAGAGCACAGAGAGAAUGGACCAUGCAGCUGUCGGCCUCGCAGGCAUCCACACGCACACAGCCCCUGUGGUCAUACCACCUACGAGUGGUGACACUUAGACCCCCGAGCGUCCGCUGUCUCGGGGAGGAUGAGAGAUGACGUCCACCCCCAUGGCUCUAUGACAUGCCGUCGUCUAGCUCACCCAGGGUGGGAACGUAAACAACAACAUGGCACAGAGCACCACACCGGGCUUCCCCUCCCAGGACCAUUACACAGACUGACAGCUUCCUAGCCACAGUCAUGCACCACCAUUUAACCACACUCAACAUGAAGCCAAGAUGUCAGUUGGACUUAGAUUGUGGUUGGGGAGAGAUCAAAAUAUAGAAACGUGACAGAUAAGGGAUCUUUAAUGAAUGAAGAAAAAAGGCAAUUACAUUUCUGGAAAUGUAUAUUAAUCUAUAUGAUAAUCUACAGUACAAUUACAUUGGCUUCAAUGAUGUGCUCACUUGGAUUACUACCAUGUUAACAUUGUGGUGGAAACUGAAGGUUUGAAAUAACACAUCAUUACUUUUCUUCACAUCCGGGUACUGUUCGGGACAUAAUGGACUCAGCAUCAGCAGAGGUCGAGUGCUGAGAACACAGAGGCCUGGACUUAAUCUGUAUUUUUUUUUUCUUUUCUGGACUUGUUGAUCUGAGAAAGCUUUUGUUUGUGCUUCUAAUGGAGGUCAGGAGGGAACCCUGCAUGUCUGUGUGAGAGAUAGAGCAAGUCAUGACAUAGAUAUAACAGGAGGAGAUGGGGAGCUGUACUUAUCAUAUCCUCCUAUCGCAGGGGCUGCUAUGUAAACCCUGUGCAAGUGUUCCAGGUGUUCCUCCUGACCAGCAAUGAACAUCAUGGGAACCGCCUCCCACACCAGUUUCCCAGCCUUCAGCCACGAAGGCUAGAUUGCUAAGGGCUUACUUCCAAAUGGAGUAUUGGGGGAGGGGGGGCGGCGACUGCUGGAUACAGCAGAUACGCU